UUGGUAGCUACCGUACAAAUGUGUCACGACAAGGUUUAAUUUGGCCUGAGUUAUCCAACCAUUUUGAAAGGAAUGCAUUUUGGUUAAGCAACUUGUUGAUGGUGCACCUCGAAUCUCCGUUGGGGGUAUUUUGAGGGGAUGGGAAGAGAAGAGGCUCGCAUCUCUUACCCAGUUUCCUACCGGAGUUUUCCCGAGGCUCACGGGAGCCUUCUGAACUAAAGACGUUUAGAAUGCAGAAUUGUCGGGGAGACUGUAGAGGAAGGAAGAGUGUAUUUAUAGCUGACGUGGGUUUGUAAACUCAGCCUUUGCUUUGGGAUUAAUUUUUAAUAAGUGCCAGGCAUUCCUCUGAUUUUCAUCCUGGCUUGGCUGUGGCUUUCUCUCGGUCUGUGUGAAGUUCGGGUGUUCCCUGUUUUAAAGCCGGAGUUGUCACAGCCUGGGCGUUUUCUGUUUCGGCUUAUGGCUUUUUUUUUUUUUCUCUUUUCCUGAAUGAGUGUCCUUUGUGUAACCCCAGUAAUUCAGAAAUCCUGCAGUCAUAGGGACUGCCCUGUCAUGUGACUUAGGUACUAGGUGCUGUCUGUGAUUGGUCAGCAGCUAAUUGGCGGGUCCCUAUAAGAGGUCUUGCUUUGGGUGUCCAGCCACCAUCCUGCCCGGAGUGCUGCUCAACAAGGGUGGAGGUGUGUGUGGGGGGGUGGCGGGUGUCCAGUGAUUCAGCUACAUGUGAUAGAUGACCAAGUGACUUCUUCCUUGGGGUCUGCACAUCACUAGAAGACACCCAACACCGGUGGUGGCCGACUUGAUCAAACUCUGCCUCCCCGAACUGGAAUGAAAUGCAGUUAACUCUUUAGAAAACUUUCGCAGGAAAAGCGCCUCGUGUGAUCUGGAACAAAGACAUUUUAUAAUCAGAUUUAUCAAGCUGUGAAGAGGGAGUUGUAGCGAACGGAAGCAGCAGCAUUCUGUCACCAGGAAAUACUGCUUUAUCCAGAAUUGAACCCCUCCCCAGAAGGCUGCGGAUCACCUAGCUGCUGGCAUGUGUAGGUACCCUCAAUGGCUCAGUAGCCAGUGUAGAUCCUGUCUUUUGUAAUCAGUAGCUACAUCUGGCUACUGGGUCUCUGAUGGCAUCUUCUGGCUUCUGUUACAGUGUCCUGAGUGAGGUUACUGGGGAGUCCUUAAUAAUUCACUUGUUGCCUUGAUUUACACACACACACACACACACACAGAGUUAAGUUCCCGAGUGGUAACUCUUCCAUUAUUAGCUGGAGUGUGAGAACCAUCAAGGUUUUAUGAAUGAUGAGGUGACUUGAUUUCAGCACCACAAGACGGGGGAAUCCAUAGACUCUCUUUUUCUUUCCUCUUUUCCCCAUGUGGAAGGUGUCAUCUGGUCACAAAACCAUCUGUCUACCUACCUACUUCUCUACCUGUAUAUCUUAUUCAUCCUUCCGUCCACCCAUCCACCCACCCACCCACCCAUCCAUCCAUCCAUCCACCCAUCCACCCACCCAUCCAUCCGU